AUUGGACGCUGGCGGCAGGCCUAACACAUGCAAGUCGAACGGUAACAGGAAACAGCUUGCUGUUUCGCUGACGAGUGGCGGACGGGUGAGUAAUGUCUGGGAAACUGCCUGAUGGAGGGGGAUAACUACUGGAAACGGUAGCUAAUACCGCAUAACGUCGCAAGACCAAAGAGGGGGACCCUCGGGCCUCUUGCCAUCGGAUGUGCCCAGAUGGGAUUAGCUUGUUGGUGGGGUAACGGCUCACCAAGGCGACGAUCCCUAGCUGGUCUGAGAGGAUGACCAGCCACACUGGAACUGAGACACGGUCCAGACUCCUACGGGAGGCAGCAGUGGGGAAUAUUGCACAAUGGGCGCAAGCCUGAUGCAGCCAUGCCGCGUGUAUGAAGAAGGCCUUCGGGUUGUAAAGUACUUUCAGCGGGGAGGAAGGGAGUAAAGUUAAUACCUUUGCUCAUUGACGUUACCCGCAGAAGAAGCACCGGCUAACUCCGUG
rnacentral:rRNA from 1 species